rnacentral:rRNA from 1 species
UACGUAGGGUGCAAGCGUUGUCCGGAAUUAUUGGGCGUAAAGGGCUCGUAGGCGGUCCAUCGCGUCGGGAGUGAAAAGCUGGGGCUUAACCCCAGUCCUGCUUCCGAUACGGGUGGACUAGAGGUAGGUAGGGGAGAACGGAAUUCCUGGUGUAGCGGUGAAAUGCGCAGAUAUCAGGAAGAACACCCCGUGGCGAAGGCGGCUCUCGUGGGACGUGACUGACGCUGAGACGCGAAAAAGCGUGGGGGGAGCAAAACAGG